rnacentral:rRNA from 1 species
UACGAAGGUCCCAAGCGUUAUCCGGAUUUAUUGGGUUUAAAGGGUGCGUAGGCGGGCUAUUAAGUCAGUGGUGAAAGCCCCAAGCUUAACUUGGGAACUGCCAUUGAUACUGAUGGUCUUGAGUACAUUUGGGGUGGGCGGAAUGUGUCAUGUAGCGGUGAAAUGCUUAGAUAUGACACAGAACACCGAUUGCGAAGGCAGCUCACUAAACUGUAACUGACGCUGAGGCACGAAAGCGUGGGGAGCAAACAGG